rnacentral:rRNA from 1 species
UACGUAGGGGGCAAGCGUUGUCCGGAUUUAUUGGGCGUAAAGAGCGUGUAGGCGGCCAUGCAGGUCCGCUGUGAAAACUCGAGGCUCAACCUCGAGACGUCGGUGGAAACCGCAUGGCUAGAGUCCGGAAGAGGAGAGUGGAAUUCCCGGUGUAGCGGUGAAAUGCGCAGAUAUCGGGAAGAACACCCGUGGCGAAGGCGGCUCUCUGGGACGGUACUGACGCUGAGACGCGAAAGCGUGGGGAGCGAACAGG